AAGGAUUGCCAUUUUGUGGUCACGAUAAAUUGAACGAGUCUCUUAAUAGAGGAAAUCUAAUCGAGUUACUAAACUAGUAUACAACUCAUACAUUUACAUAUAUUUGAAUAAUUUUUAAUAUUAUUUAAUCAAAUUUUAAUGACAACAAUAUUAUUACAAUUGUUGAUUGUCGACGGUUAAUGGUCAAGCUCCACCCUAACUGAACUUAGAUGUUGGAUUCAUCCCUGAUCAAUGGUACGCCAAACUUUCAAAAAUUUUCAUUGAACAAGGAUAUGUUCAAUCGAAGGUAAAUUAUAGCCUAUUUACUAAAGGUGAUGGUGCCUCUUUUACUGCUGUCUUAGUGUAUGUUGAUGACAUAGUUGUGGCUGGAAAUUGCAUCGACGUGAUUAACCACCUUAAAACUUCACUUCAUGACAAGUUUAGGAUUAAGGAUCUUGGUAGGUUGAAUAACUCCUUGGCAUAGAGGUGGCCAGGUCUGCAAAAGGUAUCAGUAUAUGUCAAAGGAAGUAUGCUUUGGAUAUCUUGGAUGACUCGGGGACAAUUGGUUCAGCUCCUGCCAGAAUACCAUUACAUCAAAAUGUAAAAUUAGCCAAAGAUAAAGGGGAAUUGCUCCCUGAACCAGCAAUUUACAGAAGAUUGGUUGGCAGAUUGUUGUACCUAACAAUAACUAGGCCUGAUAUUUCUUACUCAGUGCAAUUGUUAAGUCAAUUUAUGGAAAGCCCCCGAAUCCCACAUUUGAAUGCAGCACAAAGUCCUAAGAUAUAUCAAACGGGCUCCAGGGUAGGGGAUAUUCUAUCCAGCAGAUUCAGCAUUAUAAUUACACGGAUAUAGUGAUUCAGAUUGGGGAGCUUGUACUAUUACUCGACAAUCAAUAACAGGUUACUGCGUGUUAAUUGGAAAAUCAAUGGUGUCUUGGAAAUUAAAGAAGUAACAAGUGGUCUCAAGAUCAUCUUCGAAACCUAAAUAUAGAGCUAUGGCUGAUUUGUGUUGCGAACUAACAUGGUUCAGAUACUUAUUUUGAAGACUUGAAGAUAGCUCAUCCUCAAGCUGCAUAUUUGUACUGUGACAAUAAAUCAGCCGUUCAUAUAGCCACCAACCCAAUUUUUCAUGAGAGGACCAAACACAUAGAGCUCGAUUGUCAUUUGAUUCGCGACAAAAUUCAAGAUGGAUACAUUGUUACUAAGCAUGUUCCUAGCAAGUCACAGAUUGUAGACAUUUUUUUACCAAAGCCUUAGGCUCGCAAGGUUUUUACUCAUGCAUGCUCAAGAUGGGACUAAUAGACAUAUACUCUCCAUCUUGCAGUGGGCUAUUGGAAGUUGACAAAGCAGCUGAAUUGGAAAGACAUGAAGGAGCUGGUUAAAGAAUCAGCAAUACAAGCAACAAUUGAAAGAUGCUCACACAAUUGACAGCCAACUUGGAAUAACAGAAUGAGAAUUCUCUAGAAGAAGGAAAAGGAAUUUUGUAAAUUAGUUACCUUUCUGUUGUGAGAACGUGUAUGUAAAUUAUUUCUUUUAGAAUAGCCUAUUGUGUGUAUAUAUACUUUGCUUUUCUGUACAGUCUCAACAAGCAGAAAAAUCAAUACAAUUCUUUGCUUUAUUUCUGCCUCCAUCA
rnacentral:lncRNA from 1 species